AGCAGGGGCAGCCGGGAGGGGAUCUGGAUGGCGCUCGAGUCCAUGGUUCGAGGGUGACAGACGUGCUCCACUGUUCAGCUGGAAAACCAAGGAAUUGAAGAAUUGCCCAUGACAAUUUUCUGCCUUUUAAUGAAGGAUGUUGUAAUAAUGUGCACCAACAAGCAGCAGUGGAAAGGAAAAAGCCUUCCCAGACUUCAAGGCCUGGGCAGAUAAUUUAUGUCUCAGCAACCAGAACUGUACGCAGCACUCCAAGAGUACUGUCCAGAUCGAGCAUCACUUCAGGGAUCUGAAAUAAACUGAUGUUAAAAAUCAAAUUAGUAAUCUUCAUGCUUGAACUCCAUUGAUCCUCAGACGUUCUACUGUUACCUAACACAAUGUUAUUAGCUUGGCAUCCAAUCCCACCACUGUGCAGCACUCCGAGACACUAUCCUGUGUGAAGGACGCUACAUAAAUUGUUGUUGUCAUAGUCUUACCGUUGUAGGCAUUGUUAUAAAAAU